GAGGACCACUGGCGGCGUGCCUAAUACAUGCAAGUCGAGCGAACGGACGAGAAGCUUGCUUCUCUGAUGUUAGCGGCGGACGGGUGAGUAACACGUGGAUAACCUACCUAUAAGACUGGGAUAACUUCGGGAAACCGGAGCUAAUACCGGAUAAUAUUUUGAACCGCAUGGUUCAAAAGUGAAAGACGGUCUUGCUGUCACUUAUAGAUGGAUCCGCGCUGCAUUAGCUAGUUGGUAAGGUAACGGCUUACCAAGGCAACGAUGCAUAGCCGACCUGAGAGGGUGAUCGGCCACACUGGAACUGAGACACGGUCCAGACUCCUACGGGAGGCAGCAGUAGGGAAUCUUCCGCAAUGGGCGAAAGCCUGACGGAGCAACGCCGCGUGAGUGAUGAAGGUCUUCGGAUCGUAAAACUCUGUUAUUAGGGAAGAACAUAUGUGUAAGUAACUGUGCACAUCUUGACGGUACCUAAUCAGAAAGCCACGGCUAACUACGUG
rnacentral:rRNA from 1 species